CUAUUGCUACUCUUCCGUCAGAGAACGGCACAGCACCAUUAUAUGCUCCAUCAACGAAUCCACUUUUGGGAGAACAACAGUCGCAUGCUGCUGAUCAUAUAAAUCAACCAACCCAUUUGAUCUUCCUUAUGAUUCUGAAUCGGAACAAAAUGAUAAGUUCUUUGAUAUGAGUUCGUUAAAAACCACACUUCCUAAUGCUCAGUCGCCUUCCCCCUUUCUUGGCGGUGUAUCACAAUCGUGGCUUCCUCAGAAUCCAGCGGCACCGUAUAUUCCAGCAACACCACAAGGUAGUUCAUGUUGUCUACUUGGAUAAAGAGCCAUAAUCAUUAAG